GUUCCGUAGGUGAACCUGCGGAAGGAUCAUUAAUGAGUUGUCAUGGGGUUCGAUGCUGGCAGCCAAUUUUUGGAUGCAUGUGCUUGCCCUAACAAUCAUCUUCCAAACACUUGUGCACAUUUUUGAGGGAGUCUUGAGUUGGUUGCCGCUCUUGGGUGAUUUUCUCACAUUCCCUUAAAUCAUUAUACGCUAUUAACAAUGUUGAACGUGCUCUGUGCCGCAAGGCUAUUAAUAUAAUACAACUUUUAACAACGGAUCUCUUGGCUCUC
rnacentral:misc_RNA from 1 species